UGGGGAAUCUUGCGCAAUGGGCGAAAGUCUGACGCAGCCAUGCCGCGUGAAUGAUGAAGGUCUUAGGAUUGUAAAAUUCUUUCACCGGGGACGAUAAUGACGGUACCCGGAGAAGAAGCCCCGGCUAACUUCGUGCCAGCAGCCGCGGUAAUACGAAGGGGGCUAGCGUUGCUCGGAAUUACUGGGCGUAAAGGGAGCGUAGGCGGACAUUUAAGUCAGGGGUGAAAUCCCGGGGCUCAACCUCGGAAUUGCCUUUGAUACUGGGUGUCUUGAGUGUGAGAGAGGUAUGUGGAACUCCGAGUGUAGAGGUGAAAUUCGUAGAUAUUCGGAAGAACACCAGUGGCGAAGGCGACAUACUGGCUCAUUACUGACGCUGAGGCUCGAAAGCGUGGGGAGCAAACAGGAUUAGAUACCCUGGUAGUCCACGCCGUAAACGAUGAUUGCUAGUUGUCGGGAUGCAUGCAUUUCGGUGACGCAGCUAACGCAUUAAGCAAUCCGCCUGGGGAGUACGGUCGCAAGAUUA
rnacentral:rRNA from 1 species